rnacentral:rRNA from 1 species
AGAGUUUGAUCAUGGCUCAGAACGAACGCUGGCGGCAGGCUUAACACAUGCAAGUCGAACGCACCGCAAGGUGAGUGGCAGACGGGUGAGUAACGCGUGGGAACGUGCCCUUCAGUUCGGGAUAACCCAGGGAAACUUAAGCUAAUACCGCAUAAUGCAGCGGCUCCUUCGGGAGACAGUUGUUAAAGAUUUAUCGCCUAAAGAGCAGCCUGCGGCAGAUUAGCUAGUUGGUAAGGUAACGGCUUACCAAGGCUACGAUCUGUAUCCGACCUGAGAGGGUGGUCGGACACACUGACACUGAAUAACGGGUCAGACUCCUACGGGAGGCAGCAGUCGGGAAUUUUGGGCAAUGGGCGAAAGCCUGACCCAGCAACGCCGCGUGAAGGAUGAAGUCUUUCGGGAUGUAAACUUCGUAAGAAUAGGAAGAAUAAAUGACGGUACUAUUUGUAAGGUCCGGCUAACUACGUGCCAGCAGCCGCGGUAAUACGUAGGGACCAAGCGUUGUUCGGAUUUACUGGGCGUAAAGGGCGCGUAGGCGGCGUGUCAAGUCAAUUGUGAAAUCUCCGAGCUUAACUCGGAACGGUCAAUUGAUACUGAUGUGCUAGAGUGCAGAAGGGGCAAUCGGAAUUCUUGGUGUAGCGGUGAAAUGCGUAGAUAUCAAGAGGAACACCUGAGGUGAAGACGGGUUGCUGGGCUGACACUGACGCUGAGGCGCGAAAGCUAGGGUAGCAAACGGGAUUAGAUACCCUCGUAGUCC